AUGCUCAGGACGAACGCUGGCGGCGUGCCUAAUACAUGCAAGUCGAACGAACUCUGGUAUUGAUUGGUGCUUGCAUCAUGAUUUACAUUUGAGUGAGUGGCGAACUGGUGAGUAACACGUGGGAAACCUGCCCAGAAGCGGGGGAUAACACCUGGAAACAGAUGCUAAUACCGCAUAACAACUUGGACCGCAUGGUCCGAGCUUGAAAGAUGGCUUCGGCUAUCACUUUUGGAUGGUCCCGCGGCGUAUUAGCUAGAUGGUGGGGUAACGGCUCACCAUGGCAAUGAUACGUAGCCGACCUGAGAGGGUAAUCGGCCACAUUGGGACUGAGACACGGCCCAAACUCCUACGGGAGGCAGCAGUAGGGAAUCUUCCACAAUGGACGAAAGUCUGAUGGAGCAACGCCGCGUGAGUGAAGAAGGGUUUCGGCUCGUAAAACUCUGUUGUUAAAGAAGAACAUAUCUGAGAGUAACUGUUCAGGUAUUGACGGUAUUUAACCAGAAAGCCACGGCUAACUACGUGCCAGCAGCCGCGGUAAUACGUAGGUGGCAAGCGUUGUCCGGAUUUAUUGGGCGUAAAGCGAGCGCAGGCGGUUUUUUAAGUCUGAUGUGAAAGCCUUCGGCUCAACCGAAGAAGUGCAUCGGAAACUGGGAAACUUGAGUGCAGAAGAGGACAGUGGAACUCCAUGUGUAGCGGUGAAAUGCGUAGAUAUAUGGAAGAACACCAGUGGCGAAGGCGGCUGUCUGGUCUGUAACUGACGCUGAGGCUCGAAAGUAUGGGUAGCAAACAGGAUUAGAUACCCUGGUAGUCCAUACCGUAAACGAUGAAUGCUAAGUGUUGGAGGGUUUCCGCCCUUCAGUGCUGCAGCUAACGCAUUAAGCAUUCCGCCUGGGGAGUACGGCCGCAAGGCUGAAACUCAAAGGAAUUGACGGGGGCCCGCACAAGCGGUGGAGCAUGUGGUUUAAUUCGAAGCUACGCGAAGAACCUUACCAGGUCUUGACAUACUAUGCAAAUCUAAGAGAUUAGACGUUCCCUUCGGGGACAUGGAUACAGGUGGUGCAUGGUUGUCGUCAGCUCGUGUCGUGAGAUGUUGGGUUAAGUCCCGCAACGAGCGCAACCCUUAUUAUCAGUUGCCAGCAUUAAGUUGGGCACUCUGGUGAGACUGCCGGUGACAAACCGGAGGAAGGUGGGGAUGACGUCAAAUCAUCAUGCCCCUUAUGACCUGGGCUACACACGUGCUACAAUGGAUGGUACAACGAGUUGCGAACUCGCGAGAGUAAGCUAAUCUCUUAAAGCCAUUCUCAGUUCGGAUUGUAGGCUGCAACUCGCCUACAUGAAGUCGGAAUCGCUAGUAAUCGCGGAUCAGCAUGCCGCGGUGAAUACGUUCCCGGGCCUUGUACACACCGCCCGUCACACCAUGAGAGUUUGUAACACCCAAAGUCGGUGGGGUAACCUUUUAGGAACCAGCCGCCUAAGGUGGGACAGAUGAUUAGGGUGAAGUCGUAACAAG
rnacentral:rRNA from 1 species